UACGGAGGGUGCGAGCGUUGUCCGGAAUCAUUGGGCGUAAAGGGCGCGUAGGUGGCGGGACAAGCGUGCGGUGAAAGCUCGGGGCUCAACCCCGAGUCGGCCGUGCGAACUGUUUUGCUGGAGCACUGUAGAGGCAGGCGGAAUUCCGGGUGUAGCGGUGGAGUGCGUAGAGAUCCGGAAGAACACCGGUGGCGAAGGCGGCCUGCUGGGCAGUUGCUGACACUGAGGCGCGACAGCGUGGGGAGCAAACAGG
rnacentral:rRNA from 1 species